AAGAGUUUGAUCCUGGCUCAGGACGAACGCUGGCGGCGUGCCUAACACAUGCAAGUCGAGCGGAGAUAUGGAGUAAUUUAUUACGAAGUAUUUCAGCGGCGGGGUGAGUAACGCGUGGGCAACCUGCCUUACAGAGGGGGAUAACAGUGCGAAAGCACUGCUAAUACCGCAUGAAAUUGCGAUACCGCAUGGUAAUGCAAUCAAAGGAGAAAUCCGCUGUGAGAUGGGCCCGCGUCUGAUUAGCUAGUUGGUGAGGUAAAAGCUUACCAAGGCGACGAUCAGUAGCCGAUCUGAGAGGAUGAACGGCCACACUGGAACUGAGACACGGUCCAGACUCCUACGGGAGGCAGCAGUGGGGAAUAUUGCACAAUGGGGGAAACCCUGAUGCAGCAACGCCGCGUGGAGGAUGAAGGUCUUCGGAUUGUAAACUCCUUUGAUCGGGGAUGAAAAAAAUGACAGUAGAAAAACAAGCCACGGCUAACUACGUGCCAGCAGCCGCGGUAAUACGUAGGUGGCAAGCGUUGUCCGGAAUUAUUGGGCGUAAAGGGCGCGUAGGCGGUCCCUUAAGUCAGAUGUGAAAUCCCGAGGCUCAACUUCGGGCGUGCAUUUGUACUGGGAGACUUGAGGACAGGAGAGGAAAGUGGAAUUCCUAGUGUAGCGGUGAAAUGCGUAGAUAUUAGGAGGAACACCAGUGGCGAAGGCGACUUUCUGGACUGUAACUGACGCUGAGGCGCGAAAGCGUGGGGAGCAAACAGGAUUAGAUACCCUGGUAGUCCACGCUGUAAACGAUGAGUGCUAGGUGUGGGAGGUACCCCUUCUGUGCCGCAGUUAACACAAUAAGCACUCCGCCUGGGGAGUACGGCCGCAAGGUUGAAACUCAAAGGAAUUGACGGGGGCCCGCACAAGCGGUGGAGCAUGUGGUUUAAUUCGACGCAACGCGAAGAACCUUACCAGGGCUUGACAUCCUCAGAAUCCCAUGGAAACGUGGGAGUGCCCUUCGGGGAGCUGAGAGACAGGUGGUGCAUGGUUGUCGUCAGCUCGUGUCGUGAGAUGUUGGGUUAAGUCCCGCAACGAGCGCAACCCUGUGUUUAGUUGCUAACGAGUAAUGUCGAGCACUCUAGACAGACUGCCGGUGAUAAACCGGAGGAAGGUGGGGAUGACGUCAAAUCAUCAUGCCCCUUAUGUCCUGGGCUACACACGUGCUACAAUGGCCAGUACAGACGGAAGCAAAGCCGCGAGGUGGAGCAAAUCCGAGAAAGCUGGUCUCAGUUCGGAUUGCAGGCUGAAACUCGCCCACAUGAAGUUGGAGUUGCUAGUAAUCGCGGAUCAGAAUGCCGCGGUGAAUGCGUUCCCGGGUCUUGUACACACCGCCCGUCACACCAUGGAAGUUGGGGGGACCCGAAGCCAGUGAUCCAACCGUAAGGAGGAAGCUGUCGAAGGUAAAACCAAUGACUGGGGUGAAGUCGUAACAAGGUAACC
rnacentral:rRNA from 1 species